CACGUAGGCACCAAGCGUUGUCCGGAUUUAUUGGGCGUAAAGAGCUCGUAGGCGGUUCGGUAAGUCGGGUGUGAAAACUUUGGGCUCAACCCAAAGCCUGCACUCGAUACUGCUGUGACUUGAGUCCGGUAGAGGAGUGGGGAAUUCCUGGUGUAGCGGUGGAAUGCGCAGAUAUCAGGAGGAACACCGGUGGCGAAGGCGCCACUCUGGGCCGGUACUGACGCUGAGGAGCGAAAGCGUGGGGAGCGAACAGG
rnacentral:rRNA from 1 species